rnacentral:lncRNA from 1 species
CCACUGUGAAGAACCAAGGCAACUAAAGAAAAAAACACAAUCCGAGCACAGUGAUUGAAGAACUUUGGACAUUAGCAAGUGAUAUUCUUCAGGGACGAUCAAGAUAGGUUGAGCGAGGGCAGAGGUAGUCUGUCUCCUCUUCGGAUUGGACACAUCCCAGAGAUGGGAGACGGGUCCAGCCAUAUUUGCUCAUGUUGAAAGGAUGAAAUCCAAUUUGAAGCUCUGCAGCUUCUGUCCAGAAUGGCU